rnacentral:sRNA from 1 species
UAGACACGAGAAAAGAUGGGUAGCACU